UUCGAUUAAGCCAUGCGAGUCGAGAGUCUUAGGGACUCGGCGUACCGCUCAGUAACACGUGGGUAACCUGCCCUAUGCUGGGGAAUAACCUCGGGAAACUGAGAAUAAUGCCCCAUAGUCCACCAUGCCUGGAACGGUUGGUGGAUCAAAGCUCCGGCGGCAUAGGAUGGGCCUGCGGCGUAUCAGGUUGUAGGGGGUGUAAUGUACCCUCUAGCCAUCAACGCGUACGGGUGUUGGGAGACAUAGCCCGGAGAUGGAUUCUGAGACACGAAUCCAGACCCUACGGGGUGCAGCAGGCGCGAAAACUUGGCAAUGCGAGCAAUCGUGACCAGGGAACUCCAAGUGGCUGGGGUAAGACCCAGUCUUUUCUUGACUCUUCAAAGGUCUUGGAAUAAGGGGUGGGUAAGGACGGUGCCAGCCGCCGCGGUAAUACCGGCGCCUCAAGUGGUAGUCGAUUUUAUUGGGCCUAAAACGUCCGUAGCCUGUUUGGUACAUUCAUGGGUAAAUCAACCAGCUCAACUGAUUGAAUUCUGCGAGCACGGCCAGACUUGGGACCGGGAGAGGUGUGGGGUACGCUCAGGGUAGGGGUAAAAUCCUGUCAUCCUGAGCGGACCACCUGUUGCGAAGGCGCCACACUAGAACGGAUCCGACGGUCAGGGACGAAGCCUAGGGGCACGAACCGGAUUAGAUACCCGGGUAGUCCUAGGUGUAAACGCUGUGGACUUGGUGUUGGGGAUUCUCCGAGGAUUCUCAGUGCCGAAGCGAAGGUGAUAAGUCCACUGCCUGGGGAGUACGGUCGCAAGGCUGAAACUUAAAGGAAUUGGCGGGGGAGCACCGCAACCUGAGGAUUGUGCG
rnacentral:rRNA from 1 species